rnacentral:tRNA from 1 species
GCCUGGGUGGCUCAGUUGUUUAAGCAACUGACUUCGACUCAGAUCAUGAUCUCAUGGUUCAUGAGUUCAAGCCUCAUGUCAGGCU